UGGCUCAGUCAGAAGAGCACGUGACUUUUGAUCUCGGGGUUGUGAGUUUGAGCCUCAC
rnacentral:tRNA from 1 species